AUUAAAUACUUGGUCUUCCUUGCUCCCUAAGAUUUAACAACAUAUAUUUUCACAUCUCAUUCUCUACUUGCUCAUUCAACUUCAACCAUCUUCUCUUAACAAGUCUCUCAUCUCUCAAUCCUAAGUAUUGAAUCUGCCACCUUACCAAGAAAAAAGUCGUCUCUCAUCAAUAGUAAUGGCUGCAUAUUAUAUUGUUGCUGGUGGAAAUACAAGUGAUGCUAGCGAAAAAAAAUAUAGCAUUGUUCACUUCCAAAAUCCCAUCAACAACUUCGGCAUCAAAAUAAUACCAACUAAUCAAGUUUAUAAACAAACACUAUUUUCAAUAUUCAAUUUCCUUAAACCCUAUAAAACUAAAACUAUCGAAGAAAAUCUUUCUUUAGACAAAUGCAAAGAUGUGUAUUUGCUAUCAAGAGAUGACAUAAGAAAUCAUCGAAGUAAUUAUAAUUUUCUUCAUAUUGGGUUGGUACAAUUUUCGAUAGUAAAUACUUUAUUAACAAAUGAAGAAACACUUAACGUGUCAAUAACAUUAAGAGAUUCAAAAUAUCCUAAAUUUGAGGAUUCAAUCUUGGUACGUUUGGAUUCAGAUUUUUGUAAGGGAGACGUGAAGUUUAAUUGGUUUCCAAAUUUCUCGACCCGUUUGUCUGAUCUAGCGAAUUCGAAUGCCUUGGUUGUGACUAUUGAUCCUCCAAAUGAUUAUGUGAAAUUGAAAGUUAAAUAUAGGGUAUGUUAUAAAUUAAUGAAAAAAUCUUUUAAAACCGAUUAUCUAUUUCAAAAUCCUGUGAUCGAGGUGGAUACUGAGAAAAUAAAUGUUGUGGUUCCAAAAUCUAAUAAUAACAAUCAGAGUUGAGUAUAUAAUAUAUGGAUUCUGUUUGUUAUGGUUGCUGAAAGGUUGUUGUGAAGAUGUAUGCAAAGUUUGUAAUAUUUAUGAGUGGAUUGUGUGUAACAUGUCUAGUAGUUAUGGUUUGGAUUUUAUGCAUUUUAAUUUUAAUUUGUAAUUGAUCUCCUUAUGUUAUUUAGCUUAAAUUUGUUGUACAUUAGAAUUAUAUAGCUUUAAAUCCACUUCUGUUCUUCUA